UUACUUACUUCACUUGACAGGUUUGGAUCCGUUUGAUGCACCGUAAAUCCACCAGUGCUAUUAUGGUGUCAAAAUGGUGGCGCUUAUUUCUGUUGGUUCUUUUUGUUACAAGUUUUUCGUCUAAAAAUUUUGGCAUUAACAUCUGUCCAACAAGAGAAAUAACUCUAUCCAGUGGUUACAUUACAUCACCUAACUAUCCCAGUGAUUAUGAUAAUAACAUAAAUUGUGCCUUAACGCUACGAGCACCAUCUGGUUUUUCCUUUCGUUUCACGUUUACCAAACUUCAUCUGGAAAGAGGACUUGGAAUCUGUAAGGAUUGAACAAUACAGAAACUUUCAUAUGUUUUAAAACUUGAGAGGUUAUGUUGAAAAUUACUUGAAUUCAAUAACAACCCUGGAUAUAACUCUACUUUUGUUUUGAAGGAUAAAUUCUAUUUCUUUCAUAUAUUAA